GUCUAAUAUAUUGCCUCAACACACUUUCCACAUCAUCGCUAUCAGUCAAUGACUUAAAAACCGAAACUCCCAGUGCUACAUAACAAAGAUAAUAUCAGUAUCCACAUACCCACAUUUCAAAAUUAAGUUAUUUCGGGGUAUCAUAUCUAUCACAAAACUUCAUCCAUCACACAACCCCACCCGGAAGUCGCAUCACAAGGUGCCCGCCAACGAGACUCUUCACAUAGUAG
rnacentral:misc_RNA from 1 species